AGCCACCGCACCCGGCCGGGCUGUAUUCUUACACUGACUGUAUAGAAAGAGGAGAUAGAGUAAACCUACCCCGUAUACUUCAGCCCACGCCCUGUGCCUGUUCUGUAUUAUGAAGCGGGGUUGG
ensembl:snoRNA